rnacentral:rRNA from 1 species
UACGUAGGGUGCGAGCGUUGUCCGGAAUUAUUGGGCGUAAAGAGCUUGUAGGCGGUUUGUCGCGUCUGCUGUGAAAAUCCGGGGCUCAACCCCGGACUUGCAGUGGGUACGGGCAGACUAGAGUGUGGUAGGGGAGACUGGAAUUCCUGGUGUAGCAGUGAAAUGCGCAGAUAUCAGGAGGAACACCGGUGGCGAAGGCGGGGUCUCUGGGCCGAUACUGACGCUGAGGAGCGAAAGCGUGGGGAGCGGACAGG